rnacentral:rRNA from 1 species
GUGCCAGCCGCCGCGGUAAUACAGAGGUCUCGAGCGUUAGGCGGAAUCACUGGGCUUAAAGCGUGUGUAGGCGGAUCGUUAAGUACCUUGUGAAAUCCCACGGCUUAACCGUGGAAUGGCUGGGUAUACUGGCGGUCUUGAGCAACCUAAGGGCGAGCGGAACAGACGGUGGAGCGGUGAAAUGCGUAGAUAUCGUCUGGAACGCCAAUGGUGAAAACAGCUCGCUGGGGACUCGCUGACGCUGAGACACGAAAGCCAGGGGAGCGAACGGGAUUAGAUACCCGAGUAGUCC